CCCUUAGAUGUUCUGGGCCGCACGCGCGCUACACUGACUACUUCAACGAGUUGUUUCCUUGAUCGAAAGGUCUGGGUAAUCUUUGAAAGGUAGUCGUGAUGGGGAUAGAUCCUUGCAAUUUUUGAUCUUCAACGAGGAAUUCCUAGUAAACGCAAGUCAUCAGCUUGCAUUGAUUACGUCCCUGCCCUUUGUACACACCACCCGUCGCACCUACCGAUUGAAUGGUCCGGUGAAUCUUUAGGACUGUGGCUGAGGCCUUGCCUUGUGCGGGUCUGGCCGUGGGAAUUUAGUUAAACCUUACCAUUUAGAGGAAGGUGAAGUCGUAACA
rnacentral:rRNA from 1 species